GCCUUCUUAGCUCAGGGGUAGAGCACUUUCUUGGUAAGAAAGGGGUCCUGGGUUCAAUUCCCAGAGAAGGCU
rnacentral:tRNA from 1 species